UGACUGGCACACCAGGCUAGGCCACUGCAAAGGAAUGUUUUGAUGUUUUGUUGCUGCCAAACAGACAUCCUUAUUUCUAUUUUGUUGUUAUUAUAUACGUGUAAUGCAUUGUGGAUCAUAUGUUUGGUUAUAUGCAUUAUUUAGUUUGCCUCAGGUCUCAUUUCAAUUGGUCUCAAUGGUGCUAAACCACCUUUCUUGUAUGUUUAUGAAUUUUCAAAACAAAUGAGGAACUUUAAGUUUACUGUAUGAGAUAUAUGUGUACAAACAGAUUAUGAAAAAAAAAACCAAUUGUAAUGUAUUAUGCGUGUUCUCUCUAAAAAUUUCUAAUCUGCAUUGUAAAUUGGAGUUGGAUAGUUUGAUAAUGUGACUAUUAGCUAAACAGUGUGUGAAAUCCAUAUUUCUGUGCAAUAAGUACAAAUGCAUGUACUACAGCAACUAUAUAUUGACCUCCUGCCAUGUGAUUUAUUACUUAUCCACAUGUUUAUGUGCCAUUCAAAAUCGCACCAUGCUUUGUGUAUUGUACAAUCCCAAUUUUUUGCUGAGUUUAUACACUCUUUACAUUCAAAAUAAAUUGAUUUAAUGAU
rnacentral:misc_RNA from 1 species